rnacentral:ribozyme from 1 species
UGUUCAGCAAUACCUAUCCCUACCUCCUCGUGUUAUUGGCUGGGGUACGAGCAACCUUGGAGAAGAUCGGGUAAUCAACCCCAGAGGGAACUUUGGUGGUAUGCUUACAGGGAAGG